rnacentral:pre_miRNA from 1 species
AGGUCGGGGUGAUUGGCAGUAUUGUAUAUGAUGCAACUAAUAUUGCACUCGUCCCGGCCUAA